UGCAGAAUCCCGUGAACCAUCGAGUUUUUGAACGCAAGUUGCGCCCGAUGCCAUUAGGUUGAGGGCACGUCUGCCUGGGUGUCACAUAUCGAAUCCCCUUGCCAAUUUCCUAUUUAUUAGGUAUUGCGUGCAGGGUGAAUAUGUUGGCCUCCCGUGAGCUCUGUCUCGUGGUUGGUUGAAAAUUGAGACCUUGGUAGGGUGUGCCAUGAUAGAUGGUGGAUGUGUGACCCACGAGACCAAAUCAUGUGCAGCUCUAUUGAACGUGGACUCUUUUACCCACAUGUGUUUUAUAACGCUCGUGAUGAGACCUCAGGUCAGGCGGGGCUACCCGCUGAAUUUAAGCAUAUCAAUAAGCGGAGGAAAAGAAACUAACAAGGAUUCCCUUAGUAACGGCGAGCGAACCGGGAUAAGCCCACCAUGAGAAUCGGUCGCCCUCGGCGUUCGA
rnacentral:ncRNA from 2 species